GGAUAGCUCAGUUUGUUAGAGCGUGGUGCUAAUAACGCCAAGGUUACAGGUUCGAUCCCUGUCUGGAACA
rnacentral:tRNA from 1 species